CCAAAUCCGUUAUACGCGCCGUGGCUAUCGAAGGAUCAACAGGUCCUUAGUUAUCUGUUGAAUUCAUUCUCCAAGGAGAUCCUUGCGCAAAUUAUCAGUAAGGAAAGCACCUUCGAUCUAUGGACUGCAAUCACUACAAUUUUUGCAUCGCAGUCCCAAUCCAGAAUCACGAACCUGCGGAUCGCCAUCACCACCACGAAGAAGGGGUCCAUGUCUAGCUCCACCUAUAUCGCCAAGAUGAAGAACUUUGGAGACGAGCUUGCAGCAGCAGGCCGUCCUGUUUCUGAUCCCAAUAUGGUGGAUUGCGUUCUUGCAAGUCUUGAUCGCGAGUAUGACUCCGUUGUGGUGGCCCUUGGCACUCUCAAAUCCGCCAUCAGCAUGAAUGAUCUGUUCGCCCAGAUUUCCGCCUCCGAUCAACGAGUGGAGAUGCUUGGCGAUAGUACAGAGAAUGGCUUCAACUCUUCUGCAAAUACAAUGUACAGGAGGAGCGGCCAGUACAAAAACAAAGGCCAUGGGCACGACCGAGGAAGAUGCCCUCCCUCUCCUUCCAUCGGCAAUGGUGGUAGAAGCUAUGGAGGUCAUUAA
rnacentral:rRNA from 1 species